rnacentral:rRNA from 1 species
GUUCUCUGGAUUGACGCGGGCUGGACCUCUCGGGGUUACAGCCUUGCUGAAUUAUUCACCCUUGUCUUUUGCGUACUUCUUGUUUCCUUGGUGGGUUCGCCCACCACUAGGACAAACAUAAACCUUUUGUAAUUGCAAUCAGCGUCAGUAACAAAUUAAUAAUUACAACUUUCAACAACGGAUCUCUUGGUUCUGGCAUCGAUGAAGAACGCAGCGAAAUGCGAUAAGUAGUGUGAAUUGCAGAAUUCAGUGAAUCAUCGAAUCUUUGAACGCACAUUGCGCCCUUUGGUAUUCCAAAGGGCAUGCCUGUUCGAGCGUCAUUUGUACCCUCAAGCUUUGCUUGGUGUUGGGCGUCUUGUCUCUAGCUUUGCUGGAGACUCGCCUUAAAGUAAUUGGCAGCCGGCCUACUGGUUUCGGAGCGCAGCACAAGUCGCACUCUCUAUCAGCAAAGGUCUAGCAUCCAUUAAGCCUUUUUUCAACUUUUGACCUCGGAUCAGGUAGGGAUACCCGCUGAACUUAAGCAUAUCAAUAGCCCGGGAGGAAAGA